rnacentral:rRNA from 1 species
AUUGAACGCUGGCGGCAGGCCUAACACAUGCAAGUCGAACGCGUGGCGGACGGGUGAGUAAUGUCUGGGAAACUGCCUGAUGGCGGGGGAUAACUACUGGAAACGGUAGCUAAUACCGCAUACCAUCGGAUGUGCCCAGAUGGGAUUAGCUAGUAGGUGGGGUAAAGGCUCACCUAGGCGACGAUCCCUAGCUGGUCUGAGAGGAUGACCAGCCAUACUGGAACGGAGACACGGUCCAGAUUCCUACGGGAGGUAGCAUGGGGGAAGAUGGCACAAUGGGCGCAAGCCGGAUGCAGCCAGGCCGCGUGUAUGAAGAAGGCCUUCGGGUUGUAAAGUACUUUCAGCGGGGAGGCGUUACCCGCAGAAGAAGCACCGGCUAACUCCGGGCCAGCAGCCGCGGUAAUAC